CCUACGGGUGGCACCAGUAAGGAAUAUUGGUCAAUGGACGCAAGUCUGAACCAGCCAUGCCGCGUGCAGGAUGACUGCCCUAUGGGUUGUAAACUGCUUUUGUUAGGGAAUAAACCCAUCUACGAGUAGAUGGCUGAAUGUACCUAAAGAAUAAGGAUCGGCUAACUCCGUGCCAGCAGCCGCGGUAAUACGGAGGAUCCGAGCGUUAUCCGGAUUUAUUGGGUUUAAAGGGUGCGUAGGCGGCACUUUAAGUCAGGGGUGAAAGACGGCAGCUUAACUGUCGCAGUGCCUUUGAUACUGAAGUGCUUGAAUGCGGUUGAAGACGGCGGAAUGAGACAAGUAGCGGUGAAAUGCAUAGAUAUGUCUCAGAACACCGAUUGCGAAGGCAGCUGUCUAAGCCGUUAUUGACGCUGAUGCACGAAAGCGUGGGGAUCGAACAGGAUUAGAUACCCUAGUAGUC
rnacentral:rRNA from 1 species